CUGCUGCCUUCCGUAGGAGUCUGGGCCGUGUCUCAGUCCCAAUGUGGCCGGUCGCCCUCUCAGGCCGGCUACUGAUCGUCGCCUUGGUGAGCCUUUACCCCACCAACUAGCUAAUCAGACGCAGAGCCAUCUUACACCGAUUUACUCUUUUCACUCUGUUCCAUGCGAAACUGGGUGCUUAUGCGGUAUUAGCAGCCGUUUCCAGCCGUUGUCCCCCUGUGUAAGGUAGGUUCUCUACGUGUUACUCACCCGUCCG
rnacentral:rRNA from 1 species